GACUAACGCUGGCGGCGUGCCUAACACUUGCAAGUCGAACGGGGCCCUGGUUCGCCAGGGUCUAGUGGCAGACGGGUGAGUAACACGUAGGUAAUGUACCCUCUUGCUGGGGAUACCUGUCCGAAAGGAUGGUUAAUACCGAAUGAGCCACGACCGGGGCAUCCUGGUGGUGGCAAACUGGCAACGGGCGAGAGGAUCAGCCUGCGGACCAUCAGCUGGUUGGUGGGGUAACGGCCUACCAAGGCGACGACGGUUAGCCGGUUUGAGAGGACGAUCGGCCACACUGGGACUGAAACACGGCCCAGACUCCUACGGGAGGCAGCAGUGAGGAAUAUUGCGCAAUGGGCGAAAGCCUGACGCAGCGACGCCGCGUGAGGGAUGAAGGCCUUCGGGUCGUAAACCUCUGUCAGUGGGGAAGAGAACGGACGGUACCCACUGAGGAAGCAUCGGCUUACUACGUGCCAGCAGCCGCUGUAA
rnacentral:rRNA from 1 species